rnacentral:rRNA from 1 species
UACGAAGGGGGCUAGCGUUGCUCGGAAUCACUGGGCGUAAAGCGCACGUAGGCGGAUCUUUAAGUCAGGGGUGAAAUCCUGGAGCUCAACUCCAGAACUGCCUUUGAUACUGGGGAUCUCGAGUCCGGGAGAGGUGAGUGGAACUGCGAGUGUAGAGGUGAAAUUCGUAGAUAUUCGCAAGAACACCAGUGGCGAAGGCGGCUCACUGGCCCGGUACUGACGCUGAGGUGCGAAAGCGUGGGAGCAACAGGAGUA